GCCCGGCGUGGACACCAGCGGCCCCAGCGCCCCGGGCAGGUUGAAGGCCGAGCUGCCCGCGCCCGCGCCCAGGCUCAUGCCUGCCAGGCUCGACCCGAUGCUGCCCAUCGAGUCCACUUGCGGGCCCGUGAACAGCUGCGCGCACACACGCCAACAUCCUUCCAGUGCAUCGUACUCACGUAUCAGGAACACAGGCUCACCUGGCCGCUGAUGGAGGAGGGGUUGAAGGCCUGCUCCAGGUUGCGAUGCGUGCGCAUCACGCCCGGCGGAGGCUGCCGCGACUUCAGCAGCACCGUGCAGUUCGUCACCAUCGUGAAGAUCACGUCCGACAACUCCUGGGACACGUUUCUGCACACACGCACACCAAUCACAACUAACAUUAACUUGCACACUUUUGAAAUACCCCAUUCUGUAGAAACAUCUAAAUGCUUAAUUUUGGUGUAAAGCAAACACUGCAGUUAGUUACUCUAUAAUUUUACCUAACUUAACUACUAAAUAUUGAACAUUUAAGUGGGUAAAAACAUAUUAUGACAGAUAAUGUGUAUUAUGAGCUGUUUCUGGUAGUGAUGUGUAGGUUCUAAUUUUUCUCAAUUCUCUGUUUGGUUCCAGUUAUUAAAAACUGAUUCUCAGUU